UAUAUCUACAAAAUGGAUACAUACAUGGAUAUGUACACAAAGAAACAUCAUUAACGCAUAUUUAGUUGCCAGAGUUCAACUGCUUGUUGUGUCACGUUGCAGUGUAAAAGGGGCGAAUUAACGACUCUUCGAUCGACGACCACCCUCUGUCGGAUGCGUUUUCUAUUUGCAAAAUAAGCGACAAGUAAUUCGUAACUUCGUCGUGAUCGGCUGCAUACGGUUAUAGAAAAAAUCCAUUAAUUCCAGUAACAACUAAUCCAUUAAAUCCAGUAACAACUAACUAAAUAAAAUUGCAGACAGGUAUGUUCGUGUGCUUUUAUUGCCAAAUAAAAUAAUAAAAAAUUUAAGAAACACGUGUUUUCAAAAGUUAUUUUUGUUUUGUAUCGUUCAGUCUUUCCAGUGACCAUCGUGUAUAAUGCAAGUAUUAUGUUUCACGCCGCUUUGGGCAAAUCGCUCGGUAAAGCAGCAUAGAGCGAGACAGUCCCAAUUCCAAGAAUUGGUGGGGAUAGCUACAGAUACUUAAGUGGGGGACUACUGUACUUGCUUCUUGCGAAAGAACUUCGUCGUAACAAACUAUUCGACAGAAACUAUUCAGAUAAGUUGGCUUCCAAUAAUAAGUGUGAAUUAGUCAAUUCGUUUAAGGUUUUAUAAAGUUAUUUUACGAAUUUCAGGUCUUCAAAUGAUAUUCAGGCAAUUAUUUUUAUAUUUUAAUUCCAAACAAGUUCGAUAGCGUUCCUAACCAUUACCACACUCCCAUUUGAUACGGAGAUCGGUCUCCUUUAUCACUCGAUGGAGCAACACAACCGUGUUGCUAAACAUUCUCACAAUCAGUGAAAGACCUCACACGAAGUACGUAUAAUCGUAACUCGCAAUGAGACUCGUUGGAUCCCUCGUGUACGACAUUUCGAUUUCGAAACGGUUUUGUCGUCGAGAUAUGCCUGUAUUAAAAGUGUGCCUCGUGAGAUUGCUAAAUCAAUCGUGAAAGCAAUGUGUUUUUUCGUUGCUGCGUGCUAAUGAAUAUCGAUUAAUUAGCAUCGAGGGUUCCCCCUGCUUGAAGAAUAUUUUGAUCUUCCUUUCUUUCCUUUCUCCUUCAUUUUCUUAUUCUUUAGUUACGUUUCGGAUCGCGAUUUUGGUCGAUAAUUUUCUGACAGCCCUGAGUAACGUUGUUCCUUAUUCGUACAAGUUUUUCUUUUUCAUUAUUCCCUUUUAUAAUCGCCCGUUGCUCUCGUCGAAUUGAACUCGUAAUAAUAACUAAACAAAAUUGCAGAUAAGGUAUGUUCGUGCGCUAGGCUGUGCUAGAAAAUUACCGAAAAAAAUUUGUCCCCUUACACUUGUACCAAAUGCUGUUGUUCUAUGGAAAUACGCCCGUACGUCUGUGAAAGCUACAGUGCCUGUCGUUAUCGCGUAAAACAAAAAUGGCGACGAUCGGAUGUUGUCCAACGUGAUCUCCCACUUUUGUGUUUUGUUUGUCAACGACGCCGGCGCAGAAACGAAUUAAAUUAAAUUCAAAUAGCACAAGUGCAAAAGGCAGGAAGUUAUUGACGACGAUAGAAACGAAAGUUGUUGAUAGAUAGUUUGCGUGCUGACGUGAAAAGCUGUCGAGGUAUUAAAAAUCGGUGCACACACACACACAUCGGCGUCUACGCGUGAAUGGCGAAGAGAUCGGUAGCCCAACGUAAAACGAAGCGUCUCCGGGAUGUGUUUCUAAUUAUUUUUUGCUUACAGUGCAGCUUGGAGGUUACAGGUUCGCGCUUUUACUAAACUUCGCUAACUAAUCGGACGUUGUCAGUCGCGGCGUUGAUUUGCGAAAAUCGGAUUGGCCAAAGACAACGCUCCCAUUUCGCUCCCCUUUCUUUUCUCCAUUUUGAAAUUACACACUUGCCCCCCCCCCCCCAAGAUAACAGACGUUCGAACUAAGAUUGUGAAUAGUUUCGCGAAACCGAAACUUACAAAAACAGCUCGACGAAUCGAUAAGAUUUUGCUACCUUGUUCUGCGGGAGAUGAAAUCACAGAGUUUGUUCUGGAGGAUGAUUUUGCUUGGAACCGCGUCGAAUGAGCAAGCUCGAAGGCGAGUUUGGCGACGAAGCAGGUAAUGGCCAGAGAACGAGCCAUUUUCGUUCUACAGGAUAGACCAAAAAUCACGUCCUACUAGAAUCCCUAAUUUUUUUUUAUUAUAUAUAUAUUUUUUUUUAACUUGAAAGAAAAUUUUUACAACGUAAUGAAAAAAAAAUCGAUGUUGUGAACUUAAAUUUAAUUAUUUAAAAUUAAUAAAAUUAGCUUUUUCUUAUAUUUUGAAAAUAUUAUUAAAUAUUUGUUAUUAAAUAUAAUAUAUAUAUGAUAAUUUAUAAAUAUUAUUAAAAUAUAAAAAAGUAUGAAAAUAUUAUUAAAAAAAAAAAAAAAAAGUGGGAAGGAACUUUUGGACCACCCUAUAGUUGACGAGCUAAUUGGAGCGGUUGGCGCGCGCUCGAGAGGUUGGCAGAGAUUUCAGUUCGUGCAGAGAGAGUGGCGAAACGACGUUACCGACGUUCUCGGGGGAUAAUUAGCCUCGUUCCAGCCUGACUUGCGCGUCAAAGCGAACAUUGUUCAUAAAUGGAAUCGUUGGACGCCAAAAUGUAUGUACGUGACGUCGAGCUUUGUUCUUUUCUUAUUUCUGGCGCUGAUCUGCCCUGGAUUUACGAAGGUUUGUAAUAUAUACAUAUGCACGAUAAUUGCACGAACGUGACAAGCACGAUAACGAUCACGGUUACAGUUUUGAACCUCGAGCGGCGAAAGAGAAUAUUUUAUAGUAAGUGAUGCGUUCACUAGCUGCUUAAAAAGCUUUUCGUCAUAGUAUGUAGUCGUCAAUCGUUCAACAAAUGCAACGAAAACAGUGGACACGGUGUCUUCGAUCAUUUAUGAAAUUUUGUAAGUAUCGUUCGAAUGUAAAUCGACCAUGAGGACCGAAGUCUGAAAUGCUUUCGAAACGAGUACAGUAAGAAUUGGUUGGAUACUACGAAACGCGAGAGUUGAAAGGUCGUUCUUUGUUUUUAGAAAAGAACACGAGAACCACUCAAUGGAAAAAAAAAAAAAAGGUUGGUUGGCUCGAUCUCUGUACAAUUCGACAACGGUACAAUCUGCUCAGCCGGAUUUCUUCAAACAAGGCUGCCAUAGACGCAGGUUCAAGAGCACAGUGCGCGCCCCCGUGUGUGUAUUUAACGAAAAAAGGGAUCAACAAGUAAACGCGUGCGAUAAAUCAAAAUCGAUUGCAAAUCGCCUUAUAAAUUGUAUAAAAAUCUCUAUUUGCCUAGCUUAAUGCCUUAAGGAUACGGUAUAUCGGGAAUUCGUGUAAUUCCUACAGAUUUAUGCCCAGUCGAAUAGACGUUGUGUUGCAUUCUUUCAUCUCGUCUCGCCUCGGCAAUCUCCGGGCCCCUGUCCACCAGGAAAAGCACGGUGUGCCCUCUGUGCGCUCAGCGACAAGCACGAUGUGAAUUUCACUUGAGAAACGUUGACCACUCGUUAAAAACGGGAUCGGCACAGUGACUUUUGCAAGUAUGUACGUCCGAGCUACGCUCUACACGCAGAUUUUUCAUAUUAAAAGUAUACACGCGCGUGUGGCAAAUAUAGAUAUACGCGAGUAAUUACGCUAUCGUAAUUUACAUUAGUAGUGGUGCAGUUCGGGGGAACGAAUAAGACGGAGGUAAAACAGAAAGCAAAUAGAGCGGAACGAUCGAUAAUUUUGGUUGUUCGCGAGAUGGCGAAGGAAGUACACUUAUAUACACAGUGGCACGAGACAAGACUUGAACGAAGAUAAUUGAGAACGUAUCGAUUCGUUGAACGAAACAGGUUUGUUGGAUCGACAUCUCUGCGAGAUGAUAGCAGCGUGCAGAUGAUUGGAAAAGAAAGAAAAGGCGAAUGGCGUAAUUGCGCGUCGGCACAGAGUCACAGUGAGGCAGAAGCGUGUCGGAAAAAUAAAUCGGAGACACGUGAGGGUUAGCGAGUAUUACUUUUAAACGAUCUGUCGUGCGAUACUCGUUGACAGGUGAGAGGCAAGCGCGUGCGCCACACGGCACGCCCAAUUGCAAAGGAAAAGGG